UGGGGAAUAUUGGACAAUGGGCGAAAGCCUGAUCCAGCCAUGCCGCGUGAGUGAUGAAGGCCUUAGGGUUGUAAAACUCUUUCGCCGGGGAAGAUAAUGACGGUACCCGGAGAAGAAGCUCCGGCUAACUUCGUGCCAGCAGCCGCGGUAAUACGAAGGGAGCUAGCGUUGUUCGGAAUUACUGGGCGUAAAGCGCACGUAGGCGGGCUAUUAAGUCAGGGGUGAAAUCCCGAGGCUCAACCUCGGAACUGCCUUUGAUACUGAUAGUCUUGAGAUCGGGAGAGGUGAGUGGAAUUCCUAGUGUAGAGGUGAAAUUCGUAGAUAUUAGGAAGAACACCAGUGGCGAAGGCGGCUCACUGGCCCGAUACUGACGCUGAGGUGCGAAAGCGUGGGGAGCAAACAGGAUUAGAUACCCAGGUAGUCCCUGAGCGGGCUGGCAAGGCGCAU
rnacentral:rRNA from 1 species